UGUGUUUGGAAGGUUUAGGGAAUAGUAACAUACUAUGGAAAGUCUAUUUUGAUGCCUGGAGCGCAAGUUCUACCGCGCUUCAGAGACUAUGAGUUAGAUUUUAUAACUCAGGAGCAAAUGCAACGUGUGUCCUGUACAACAUCUUGUUUGCAGGGGGCCCAAGCUGCAAAAUGCAUCAAGGGUCAGUAAGGGAAGCUUGUCUAUGGACUGGAUAUUACACUUCUGUUAAGAAAGUUACCGUGACUUCUGUUCUUGUAACUGCAUUGGGAUUAGGUGAACAGCCUGUACACAGAGGCCCUCUGCUUCCCACUCCCCAGGAGCUGUUGUUUCGAAGACAUGGAUCUACAAAACUAAUUCAUUUUAGGGACAAGUAUCUGACUGUUGGAAUUCACUAGAACUUCCGUCCCACAGGAGGGAGAUAAACACUGAAGAAAGGGCUGGUGGACAUGAAAGAAGAACAUCAGAAACCCCAGAACAUACCCGACACAGGCAAGCUCCUCCAUACUGGGGGCAGCCACUGUGAUGCUGGCAUAGGGAGGUGUUACAUCAGCUGACAAGAAAGAGAUUACAUCUCCAAGAACCUGAACCUCAGUAUGCUGGUUUGUCUAGAAAUUUAUACACACCUUGUAAGAGGCAUCAGCUGACAGAUGAGAAACCAGAAAUCUUACUCAGGUCACUUGGCUUGCUGGUGACAGCCGGGACUAAAGCGGCUCUUUCUGACUCCAGAGCUCCGGGAGACCUAGCUCCUGCCUGCGCUUUACUUGUUAAGGUUACAAACCCGUCUAGUGCAUCCUGGUCCUGGCUCAGAGUCCUUGCAUCCCACACAACCCGGAAGCCUCUCCACUAGCCUUCUACCGCCUAGAGCCCACCAGUGUUUAAGAAUGUUGGCGGUGCAGAGAGGAGGUCCAGGAAUUUUCUCAUCUCCUUUCCAGGGGCAGUUCCACACACUCAACCCAGGAUUGCUUCAGGAUAAAGUUCCCGAAAGGCUGUGAAGGAGAUGGAAGAAACUGAAAGACUGCACUGUUACCAAAAGCAAAGGAGUGUCUUGCUGGAUCCCGAAUGAAAUAACAGCAUUUUCUGACACAGGACUUGGGAAACAACUGGGGAAAUUACUAUUGUAUUGGGAAGUAUGUGAAAAGUGAAGUUACAUAAAAACGGU